rnacentral:rRNA from 1 species
GGCGGUAGGCUUAACACAUGCAAGUCGUGCGAGAAAGUAUCUUCGGAUAUGAGUAGAGCGGCGGACGGGUGAGUAACGCGUAGGAAUCUACCUAGUAGAAGGGGAUAGCCCGGGGAAACCCGGAUUAAUACCGUAUACCUCCUUCGGGAGAAAGAAGGCCUCUCUUUGAAGCUUUCGCUACUAGAUGAGCCUGCGUAAGAUUAGCUUGUUGGUGAGGUAAAGGCUCACCAAGGCGACGAUCUUUAGCUGGUCUGAGAGGACGAUCAGCCACAUUGGGACUGAGACACGGCCCAGACUCCUACGGGAGGCAGCAGUGGGGAAUAUUGGACAAUGGGCGCAAGCCUGAUCCAGCCAUACCGCGUGUGUGAAGAAGGCCUUCGGGUUGUAAAGCACUUUAAGCAGGGAGAAAAAGUUAUAAGUUAAUACCUUAUAACCCUGAUGUUACCUGCAGGAUAAGCACCGGCUAAUUCCGUGCCAGCAGCCGCGGUAAUACGGAAGGUGCAAGCGUUAAUCGGAAUUACUGGGCGUAAAGCGCGCGUAGGUGGUUUGUUAAGUUGGAUGUGAAAGCCCUGGGCUUAACCUAGGAACUGCAUCCAAAACUAACUCACUAGAGUACGAUAGAGGGAGGUAG